UAAAUUGUUGUUUUAAAUAUAACAGUACACGUCAAACGGCACUCUUCCUUCGUUAAUCUCUCUGUAACCUGUAGACUCUGUAAUUCUCAAGGAGAAGUUGAGUUCGAAGGCGCUUCUUUUCGAAUCUUUUUGUGUCUCUCAGGCAACAGCAGAGGAUUUGGCAAGGAAUAGAGGACAAGUUCUCUCUAUUUAUCGCUAGAUAUUGCGGAGCAUCAACUCCCCAAAGCUGCCUCUCGCUUUUGAAGCAAGAUUGGCUAAGAAAGCAGAGAUUCGUGCUAUCUUCAUGUUGGCUUCUGAAGAGACAUCCCUACAUAACAUUGAUGACCUAAUUGACACUACUGAGUACUCUCUUUCCCUUCUAAGAAAAGGUGAAAUUCUCAAAUACAUACAAUGAGGUCAACUGGUUUGUUGGAGUAAAUCAUAUCUUGAGGGGUCAAGGUAUGGUAGAGCAAGACUUGCAUCUUUUGGUGUGAAGAUAAUACUGGGGGGCUGAUUUGUAUUCAAUGUCAAAGAUUGCGUUUUCUUCAUAAGAUGUGCUGCAAAGAAUUUGUAUCUAUGAAAAAAAUUGGUGUGGGGCUAGAGAAUUCGCGGCCCAGGCCCACUCUACAUUAGGGCCCAAGGCCCAAGCCAAGGAGAGCCAUUGCUGAGGACGCAUAAUGAAAUCCCAAAAGGAGCAUAAGAAUAUUGCCGAGGACGAUCUCAUGCUCAGCACCUCACGAAAUGCCUGAAGAAAGGGGCAAACUCAGUGUAGGGGCAGGGCAGGGCAAGGGAAAAAGCUGCUAACAUCAUAAUACAAAACCCUGUAUCUGACAAGCCCAUACUCUAAACCAUGCCCUUUAACUUUCCCAACGACCCCUAACCACUCUAGGUAUGGGUUGACAGGACAGGUCUGCACCCUAGAAAGUAAAACUUACACGUGGACCCUAAAGGGGGAAACGAACACUAGUAUAAAAGGGUAAACCCCCAGGAAGAAAGGAGGGGGAUCCCGGUGAAAGGGAGAAAAGGAAGGAUACAAGGCUCCUCGGACGCCGUCUGAGGACUUAAGUCCUACAACCCGUACCAAUGAAGGGCUUAGCUAGUCAAGCCAAGCCCGCCCAUAUAAGAGCUUCCAUAGAAACCACAAUUAAACCGCUCACCUGUGCCCAAGGUCAUGCCUUUCAAGUCCACUCUCUACAAAUCAUAUUGUUGGGGCCCUUUGCAUGCGAGCCCAACGUCAUUCAUGGGUCGUUACAAAUCGUGUCCUACAAUUGGCGCUGUCUGUGGGAAGGCUUGCGUGUUGGUGCAGGUGGCGGUGGAGUCAAGUCUCUAUCAAGCAGAGGUCCGCGAAGUUUCCUCCAUUUCUAGCAACAUGUAGUUGUUGUUCCGACAUAAACUUCCGCUAGGGGCUACGCCUUGCAGCGUUAAUGGCACGGGAAGCUCUAGGUGCUUCCAACCUCAAGCUAACUCUCCCCACCUGUUGAGGGGCUAACCUUCGAAAAGUAAAUAAAUAAAUACAAAGAAAAACUACUUAAAGAAAAUAUACAAGUUUUGGACAGAACCAAGGCCUUGUAUGGUUCUCGGACUUAAGCCUAUGGGGAAACCAACU